CUCAAUCCCUUGGUCUCUCUGAUUCCUUAUAUAUCCCGAUACAUUUCUGGGGGCUCAUCAGGAUUGGAGAUGACAGAUUUACUGUCCCCUUUGCCUGCGAUACUAGGUCCCCGGGGCCAGGAGAGACCCGGCAUCCAAGGUGUGCCACAGCUGAGCUUCACCCGGAUAUAUAGACCAGCUCUCCCCACGUCCCAGCACCCUGCCUGGCAGCGCAAUGGAACCGAGGAUGGGGCUGCAGGACGAUACCAGCACUUCAGGAACUGUGACAGAAUCUUGCUCCGCUGCCAAGGCUGGAGUGCACUGGUUCAAUCUCGGCUCACUGCAAACUCUGCCUCCCAAGUUCAAGUGAUUCUCCUGUGUCAGUUUCUUUAGGAAUACAGCACUCCAUAUUGUUACCAUAAUAAUGAAACGGAUUCCCAUGGCUACAGCGAUGAAGCAGCAGAAAAAAAAUGGAGAUGCUGUCAAAGAAAAAAGACACAGAUCAGAGAAAGAAGCAUAAAAGGUGUUUAAGAAAUAAGUAACAUAGCAGGGCGCGGUGGCUCAUGCCUGUAAUCCCUCACGCCUACAAUCCCUCACGCCUGUAAUCUCAGCAGUUUGGGAGGCCGAGGUGGACAGAUUGCUUGCGGUAAGGAGUUUGAGACCAGCGUAGCCAACAUGGCGAAACCCCAUCUCUACGAAAAAUUAGCCAGGCAUGGUGGUGAGUGCCUGUAGUCCCAGCUACUUCGGAGGUGGAGGCCGAAGAAUUGCUUGAGCCUGGAAGGCUGAGAUCUCAGUGAGCCGAGACUGCCACUGCACGGGUGACAGAGCGAGCCUCUGUCUCAAAGAAAGAAAGAGUAUGUACCUGGAUAUGUAUUUUUAAAAUAAUGUAAAGAUUUAAAAAUAGUUCGAAGAACCUAAUUGUAUGGCUUUUGAAGCAACUAGAAGUAUGUUCUUUACAGAUGGUGGGAGUAAUGUUAUAUUAAGUUUGUGUAAGCUAUAACACUUAAGUGUUUAUAAGCAUGUUUAUAAGCUGGUGUUUACAAGCAUGUUUUUAUUUCCGAACAAAAUUCAAAAGAAGUUUGUCUUUGUAAAAAUUCAGAUGUGCACAGUUCUUGUUCCUCUCUGAAGAUAUUGGAAAUGUAUUGCUAAUACUGGUAAUAUAUAACAAUUUUUUUAUGAAUAGAUGACUUAUUUAAUAGUUACGUAUCUAAAUCUGAAUAUUUUCUAUAUAAUUUGUCUAUGGAAACAAAUAUUUAUACAAUUGUUCACAUAUUGCUCUUUUCUUUGUAAUGUUAUUCCUUCUAGGUAUAAAAUAUAGACGUUCUCAAGAAGAUUAGUGUUUGCAAUAGAAAGCUGGGCCAUUUGGCCACACCUGCAAAUGAUUAUUGGUUUUGCGGGAGACUGCAAUCCAUAAAAAAUUACUGGCAGAGUUUGAGAAUUUGUAUAAGAAAACAAAUUUUAUGAGAUGCAAAAUCAAUACUAUUAUACUAAUUUAAAUUUUGUAAUAGCAAAGCUAAUUCUUGUUACUUUUCAGUCUUUCAAUUCACUAAGAUAAUGAGUGUUACGCACUGAACACAUACAAAUGUAUUGCUGUGACUGAAUGAAGAGGACAAAUUAACAAAGCAAUUCCGAGGCCCUGGAAAUUGAUCAAAGGCUAAUAAUCAUUUGUGAACUAUUUAUUCUUGGAAAAACUGCUAGAGAUUCAAGGAAGAGUGCAGCAAAUUUGUAGUAAGUUUACCUAGUGCUGCUCCCGUGCCUUCUGCCCACCCACCACACCCAGCACAGUGAGUAACAGUUGCAGUUUUUACAGCUGGGGGAAAAUCAACAGUGUUUUUUGCCACAAGGACAGACUUGAUUAGCGGUCAGAGGUUGGGGCAUAGUGUAACAGACCACUGCUUUUCAACUGAAAGUGCUGAAUUUUGCAGGAAAUGAAUGAGAAAACCCCAUUUUUUGUUGUUUUUUAUUUUUUUUAGUCUGAGGUGUAGUCUCCUCUGGGGCAAGAACAGUGCCAGCCAUAAAUAUAACAAAAUCCUAAACAUGAGAGUGCAAUAGACCUCAUGACAUUAGCCCUCUACAUAUUCUUUAAAUUUUUUUUUAAAUUGACACAUUGUAAUUGUACAUAUUUAUGGGGUACAACUUGAUGUUCAAUACAUAUAUAUGUUACAUUAAAUAAUCAAAUCAGGGUAUUUAGUGUAUCUGUCUACCUCAUGUAUUUAUCAUUUCUUUGUGGUGAGAACGUUCAAAAGCCUCUGUUCUAGCUAUUUUGUAAUAUGCAAUAUCUUACUGUUAACCAUCAUCACCCUACUAUGCAAUAGAACAGAACUUAUUCCUCCUACCUAACUAUAACUUUGUACCCAUUGACCAAGCUCUCACCCUGUCCCCCUCUUUUUCUCUCCUCCAGUCUCUGUUGACCACUGUUCUGGUGUUUUUCUGGUGAUCGCUCUGCUUCUAUAAUAUCAGCUCUUUUUUGCUUUAUUUCUACAUGAGUGAGAUUAUGUGAUAUUUGUCUUUCUGUAUCUGCCUUAUUUCACUUAACAUGAUGCUCAGCAGGUUCAUCCAUGUUGUAUAAAUGACAGGAUUUUAUUCUUGAUUAUUGAAAAAAAUAUGCAUAUGUGUAGAGGAGACCAGGGUGAUUCCAGUAAAAAGUAAAAGCCCAAGGAGACUUGAGAACUGAUUGCAAAUUUAUGAACACUUCCUUCACCACACACACACACACACACACACACACACACCGCUAGCACAGAGUGGAGCCUCUACUAACUUAAGGUUUUCGAAUAAACCUUUUAAAAUAAUAUAUUGGCUGACAACCAAGCUAUGCAAUUCACAAGGGCAAUCCCUAGGAAAUGGGGCU
rnacentral:lncRNA from 10 species